AAUACCCUAUUCAGUUAAGUCACUCCCCGAGCAGAGUCCCCAAACGCUUUCUCCCAAUUUCUGAGAUCUGCGCAAAACCCUAAACCCCAUUUGCGAUUUUGCUUCAAAUUCAGUCACAAUGUCGAUGUCGAAGAGUUCUAAGAUGCUUCAAUACAUCAAUUAUCGUAUGCGUGUUACUAUCCAGGAUGGCCGUCAAUUGAUCGGCAAGUUUAUGGCAUUUGAUCGACAUAUGAAUCUUGUACUCGGCGAUUGUGAAGAGUUUCGUAAGCUUCCUCCUACUAAAGGUUCUAAGGAAGAACGUGAAGAUCGCCGUACACUUGGUCUUCUUCUUCUCAGGGGUGAAGAAGUGAUUUCCAUGACUGUUGAAGGUCCUCCACCUCCGGAUGAUUCUCGUGUUAAAGCUACUGCUGGUGGUGUUUCUGCUGUUCCUGGACCCGGGUUGGGUCGGGCGGCGGGUCGGGGUGUUCCGACUGGUCCGAUGGUUCAUGCUCAGCCGGGUCUUGCUGGUCCUGUUCGUGGUGUUGGUGGACCUGCACCGGGAAUGAUGCAGCCGCAGAUUUCUCGUCCGCCGAUUAAUUACCCGCAGCAGCCUCCUCCUAUGGUUCGACCACCUGGUGGUGGGCCUCCACCUCCAAUGCAAAUGCAAAUGCAAAGACCUGGUGGCCCACCUAUGCCUCCGCCGCCACAGUUCAGGCCUGGUGGUCCUGGACCGUUUCCGCCUCAGUUUGGUCAGAGGCCCAUGGGACCACCACCUCCACAGAUGAUGAGAGGUCCUCCACCACCAGGGUCGCAGCCACCAAGACCUGGAAUGCCUGGUGGGCCACCUCAUCCGGGGAUGCCUCCACCUCCUGGUGGGCAAAUUCCAGUCUUUGGACCUCCUCGCCCGGGAAUGCCACCUCCUCCAAAUGCACCUCACCAGCAGAAUCAGCAGCAGUAGAAUCAAUCAUCUCAUGGAAGAUGGCCUGUAUAUGCAAUACUCGCAAAAUAUGAUGAACGCCUUUUUCCCCUCGAAAGAUCACCUGUCUCUGAUCAUUUGGUUGUUGCACUGAAGAUGGUGCGCUGUUAUGAUGUUGUCUCUUGAUGGAUCUGGAAGGUGUGGAUGGAAAUUGCUCUGGUUUUGAAUAUAUAGUGAUAUAGGUUUUGAACAGACAGAGGGCAUGCUCUGUAAAGGUCAAGUAGUCAUUAGCUUCUCCUGCUUACCUCAAUGAUCGUUAUCUUAGGUCCUUUUUUCAGCACUCAGCUAAGGAUUUGGUGUUUGGGCGAUCAAACUAAGGCUAUAUUUGAUGGUGGUUGAGUGAUAUUUGCUUUCAAUUAGCUUGUAAUUGUGCAAGAUAGGAGUCCUUAAACUAAUGUUCUUAUCAGUAUUUGUCAAACUUCCUGUCUUUUGAUUUUCAAUAUUGCUUUCUGCUAUGACUUAAUGAAGAUUUCAGUGGGUUGUUCAUUCAA